GACGAACGCUGGCGGCAUGCUUAACACAUGCAAGUCGAACGGAAAGGCUCUGCUUUUGUGGGGUGCUCGAGUGGCGAACGGGUGAGUAACACGUGAGUAACCUGCCCUUGACUUUGGGAUAACUUCAGGAAACUGGGGCUAAUACCGGAUAGGAGCUCCUGCUGCAUGGUGGGGGUUGGAAAGUUUCGGCGGUUGGGGAUGGACUCGCGGCUUAUCAGCUUGUUGGUGGGGUAGUGGCUUACCAAGGCUUUGACGGGUAGCCGGCCUGAGAGGGUGACCGGCCACAUUGGGACUGAGAUACGGCCCAGACUCCUACGGGAGGCAGCAGUGGGGAAUAUUGCACAAUGGGCGGAAGCCUGAUGCAGCAACGCCGCGUGCGGGAUGACGGCCUUCGGGUUGUAAACCGCUUUCGCCUGUGACGAAGCGUGAGUGACGGUAAUGGGUAAAGAAGCACCGGCUAACUACGUG
rnacentral:rRNA from 1 species